GAAGAAUUGCGCCUAUGUGUCUUCACAUUGGCUGGUGUGUACGUUCAGUUCACACAUCUACUGCCCACCGAGCCCUUGUCCUCGAAUAAUGAUUAACCUUUUCUAGUAUCCACACUUCGACGUAAAAAAAUAAAAUACAAAAUAUAAAAAUAAAGAGGGGAAGGUAAACUUCAGUCUCCAACUAAAAACUUUCAACUUUCAUUUUAUCAAAUUUUCUUGCCUGUACGCUCUGCACUUUACCCCUUGCAUGUCCUCCGCUUUUCCUCGCAUGUCCUUAGCUUUUCCUCCCACAAUAUCUCUCGUUCUCUUUUCACACAACUACCACGGAUGCUUCCUUUUCAAGGCUGCUAUGGGUUUGUUCAUCGUGACCCAAGCGUCGUCAACGCCAUGGACUUCAAAGUCGGAGCAUCGAUCCUCAGAUCCUCGUCGAGAUUGGGAAAGAGAUCAACGAAUGCAUUCAAGAGCCACAAGGAAGCAGAGAGGAGACGCAGACAGCGUAUCAACGCCCACCUCUCUACCCUCCGUUCUCUCCUCCCCAGCGUCACCAAGACGGACAAGGCCUCCUUGCUAGCGAAGGUGGUGCAUCACGUGAAGGAGCUAAUAAGGCAAGCCGCUCAAGUGGCACGUCAGGACGGGGACGGUUUCUGUAGCGGCAGCAGCGGAGGAGGAGGAGGAGGAUCAGAGCCUGAAAAGUACUGUGCGUUCCCGGGAGAAUCAGACGAGGCGACUCUGAGUUAUUGUGAUGGGGAAGCGAAGACGAUGAGGGUGAGCGUGUGUUGUGAGAAUAGACCAGGGUUGAAUUGGGAAUUAUCGCAGGCGAUCCGAUUGGUUCGAGGCAGGGCGGUCCGGGCUGAGAUGAUGACGGUUGGAGGACUGACUAAGUGUGUGGUGGUGCUGCAAUGGGCUAGUGGCGGUGGUGGAGAUGAGGAGGCGAGAAUCCUGAGAAGAGCGUUGAAGGCCGUCGUGGAGAAUCGAGUCUCGGGUUGUGGGUUGGGCCAGGUGGUCCAUGAAAUGAAAAAUAAUGAUUGAUUUGAAAUUGUGUAUAUUUUAAUAUUGUUCAUUGGGAGUUGGUUCUACCAUAUGUGAUGCGGUAGUAGCAAUUAUUAAAAUUUCAUGCCACCUUUUUACGAGAAACAAAACCGACAGCAAAAUUAAGGUUUUAUUUUUUACAAUAAAUAGCUCAAUUGAAGUUACGC
rnacentral:misc_RNA from 1 species